GCGGAGCACAAAAAUUUUAAUGAACAAAAUGCAAAACGUCCACAAUUAUAUUGGUACACCGUGACAUCAGUUGAGUUGGAGAAAUUUUCAACAGGUAUGCUUGCAAAAAUUCUGCCAUUUGAUUUUAUAUGAGGACAUCCAGCAUCUUAAAAGUACCCAUAGGAAAGUUCUGAGUCAAUGCUUUCCUAUGGGGACGGUCUAGUGUGUGCAUGCACAUGAGCUUGUCUUGGUUGACAUCGGUAGAGAGCACUGCUUAUUUAAAAAGAAAACGUACAUAUGUUUUUUGCAGAUAUCUUGAACAAGACACAUGAACCAGGUGUGGGAUAUUGAAGAAGCCACCACAUAUUAUAUGAAAUAAUAUCGGAGUAUAACAUAAUGUAUAUUAAAAUUGAUUAUUUACCAUUACCAUCCUUAGAAUGUCCACACAAAGAUUUGGUUUUCAGAAGGGAGACCUUUCGAACUAGGCAAAUUAAGUAUGAUACCUAAUCCAAUCUGUUGGAAUAAAAGAUACAUAUUGUCCCAACUGGUGGGACCCAGACAAGAGGCAAACCAUUGCAGAACAGUUUUGACCCUUAGAGGGAAAUGGCACCAGGGUACUCCCAUACUCACAACGGUGGGUUUAGUGGUUAUGAUGCUUGGAAUGACCCUUUAAAAGGACCACUAAGGUCUGGGUGCAGUUUAAACACCCGAUCUAAAAAAACAAUUUAGAAGACACAGCAAUGCUAUAAAUCUGCUUUAAAGUCAAUAGAGGUGCUUCCGUUAAAUAAUCAAGUUACACUGUUAAUUAUUCAAAUGCUGCCCACAGAGAACAUUUGAUAGGAGCAGCAAAUUAUUUUGCCACACAUGUGUACUUCCCUUCACAUGCUGCGCUGUAUAAAAGCAUUAAAUUGGCAUAGAUAAUCUUUAUGAACACAUAGUGGCCACAGCGAGGGAGUAAAGGUAAGUGAAAACUCUAGGAGAAGCAUUUGAUAGGAACAAGAAGAGGGAAGCAGUGAUGUUUGAUGGGGGCAUCGGCAAGCACUGGAUUUCAGGUAAAUUAAGUAUUUUCAUGUUUCUAAUGGGAGGAUAAUUCAUAUUACCCAACAGGACAUAGCAAAUAGACAGAAAAAAAAAGUUUACAAAGGGUUGUAAGUAUAAAUAAACGUGCAUGCAUAGGUGAAGGAUUAGAAUUGUCUUUUUAAAUACAACACGUUUACAAAAUACAGAAUAAGCACACAAAUAAAAAUAUAGUUUUACAUGGCUACUUAAAAUCACUCAUCUCAGCAGUUGGCUAUAUUGUGUUAAGCCCACCACGCCUUGUAAGUUUUAAAACUGUAUUUUUAUCUAUGCUGUUGCUUAAUCUGUAUUUUGCAAAUAUACAGCAUCAUUGCUGAGAAUUUGCAUGCUCUGGGUGUGCCCCCAAUUCCCUUUUGGUCUUUAAUAGCAUGUUUACAUAGCUGACAAUGGUACAUCAUUUAAAAUUGUAUACAGUUAAGGUCUUACGUUCCUAGAGCCAUAAACCUCUUACCAAUAUCAUGAAUGCUUGGGUAGCCAUGCAUUUUCAUCAUUAUGCAAUAACUAUCAGAUAUAAAAGUUAAUAAAAAUAUAAUCCUUUAUCCCUUUAUUUAAGCAUAGAAUGGAUUAACAUUGCUUAAUGUACACUAAGAUUAGGUGGUGACUGCCAUGUACAUAAUUCUUACAAAUUCAUUUGGGAACAGUCUUUUUAACCCCAAAAGAACAAAGGAUAUUAUCGGUCAUGAAAAUCUGGUUUGUGUACGGCCUAAAGCAGAGAUAUGGCUAAAUAGUGGCACUAUGGAUUCAUACAGCAAAGCUAAAAUUAGUAGGAAGCAAUCCAACAAACCAUCUCUGGCCCUUAACCUGUGAACUCAUCACUCUACACAUAUAGGCAUUGGUAUAGAUUUCACAACGAUCACUAAAAACAUGAUUUUGAAACAAUUUACAUAGUAACAUACAUGCCUGUGUAUCAACACCAAAAGGGUUUUGCUAGUAAAUGUUUUUAUAAAAAUAUUGCUUCACAUACAGAAGAAGAAGAAGAAAAAAGUAGAUUGAAAAUCUGCAAGUUAACAGAAAAUAUGCACAUACACUAUGACUUUGGUACUUUUGGUGAUGUUAGUGAAACCAAAUGAUGCACAGAUGACAACAUGCAGUGCAGCAGUCACUAACCUCAGGACAGCACCUACCCUACCCAAGACUAGUAGGAGUUGCUAACACAGGACAGCAGCUGCAACAAUUACAAUACAGCCGUCUCCCAAUAAUGGUAUUCAAGUAUAGACACGGAGCAUACAGAAACAUGAUUUAGCCUCCCCGAGAGAGACUCGGCUAAAUAAAUAGAGGCAGUUGGAGCCCUGACACCAUCUAGUCUUGGGCAGACCAGGACAUGUUUAACCUGGUGCUGCUUUAAGAACCCUAGACCAAAUAAUUUUGAAAUAAAAGCAAUGUAAAGAUAAUAAAAGCAUAUAAUGUAGUAAUAUGACAUCCGGUAUCAUGGAACCAUUUAAAUUUGUUUUUUUAAUAAUACACAGUUCCUUGCCACGUUUGUAUUCUAUUUAAUUGUGUUUCCCACCCCCCUACUCCAUGUGCACUAUAAUAUUUCUAAACACUAUACUUCCUGGAAGGAGGACAUUCCCAUUCUUCUAACCAAUUGCUCUAAGAGUAUUUUAAUGUUUUCUGCAUAUUCAUUUUUCUCAUAUUUCAUUCAUAAUAUAUUUAGGUAUUUGGUAUAGAGAUAAAGUAGAUGUUUGCACAAGGAGAGGUUGGUGUUACAGUUUAAAACUCAGAUGAAGUUCCAUAAAGGAACUAAGUGUUUUUUCAGAAGGAUUACGAUAUACACAUAAAUGUUUGUAGUGAAAAGAAACUAUUACAGUUUAUUCAAAUGACAUACGUAUAAAAAGAAUUAGACUUGCAGUGUUUGACACGCACAUUACAUCCGCAGCUGCUGAAAUACAGCGCUUCUCAAAAUCUUCAAUAAGAUUUAUGAGAGUUGCAGUCCACACAGCUGGAGGGAUGAAUGUUAUGUCCAAUUAUUUAAAGCCACAUUAUGUUAUAAAUAUAAAACUUAAAAUGAGGUUAGCAGACUUGGUUUCCAUUUCAUAUACUUAAAAACAUACCACAGAUUUAUAAAUACUAUACAAUAUGCAUAUUGUUUCAUGAUCAACCUAUUAAUACAUUAAUCUUAUUAAAAGUGUAUAUACUAUUCAGAGUUAUGAUUGCUUUAGAAUUCAGCAACAUCUAACAUUUUGAUUGGUAUUCUCAUUCACAUUGGUUUUUUUUAAUUUCGGCUUUAAUUUUUCUUAUGGUUGAACAGCCAGUUUACGAUGAAAAUGCGGCUUUGUAAAAAGGGAGCCCGUUGUAUUUUACACGUACGCUACCCAUUACAAAACAGACAAAGCAAAAACAGUGAACUUUGCAAAUGAUAAUACAAAGGAAACAUGAGGCUGGAAUGUAACUUCAAGAGGAUGUUGUCAGUCAAUGGAUCUUCUGAGUUUUUAAAAAUAUCUCCCUUGACAAAAAAAGCGCACCAAAACACAUCCUGUGACAGUACUUAAAUGAUGGUUUAAAAGCCAAGCUACUCAUAGACAAAUGGAGGUCCUCAAGCACCAGUACAAUAAGAAUAGUUAUUUUUAGAUAACUUUACACCAAAUAAAUUCUAAACAGAGUUUGUUUUGGUAUGAGCACGGUGAUGGACACCACACACUUAUUACGACUGAGCUUUCCAGUGUAAGGGACGAAUAGAGUAAAUGACUAACUCAAUAAUGUGCAAAUUUGUUAUAAAAAUGAUGGUGUAACCAGACGCCCAAUCAAAACAUCCAGGUAGGCUAAAGGACUGUACAAUAUUACCUCAUAUAACCUAUCAGAGACUCCAAUAUGAAAACUCUGGCCUGUAUAUAAACUCACUGUUUAGUUAAUAAACAUAUUGCUGCACAGAACCAGGUGAUUCUGGUGGCCAUUAGAGAUUUAAAAAAUAAAAAUAAAAAUAAUCUAUAUAUUGGUUCGAGCAGCAGAGUUUCCCCAAGUACACUAACAGCUAAUAAAGAACUAGGAAAAUGUAGUGUGAUAUGAAAAAUACAAAUAAAAUAGAAAAUAGCAAGAGAUUAAAGAGAAACUUCUGUUAAGUUUUCUUCAUCAGCAUGCAAAGCAACAAUCUUUUAGUAUUUCAAGAUCACAGCGAGCCUUUAAAUGAGUAAAGGCAAGUCAUUUAUUUUCCUCUUACUAAUAAUUAGACAAUGCCAAUUUAUAUAUAUUUAUAUAAAUAAAAGAAUUACUCUGUACACCUGCCAAUUAAGUCCAUUGAGAGCAAUAGACAGCGGAAGCAGACAUGUGUAAAAGGUUCUCAAUCAUUCUUACCUAGGAAACACUCCAAUAUACAUUCAUAGUGGGGGACUGGGUGACAAUUACUGGUUGAAAAGGACAUCGCUGAUGGAGUAUCUGAGACUGGGCCUCUACUACAGGACAAAAACAACUUCGUAUGCACUAAAGAGAAAUGAAAUGAAAUGUAGAAUAUAUAUAUAUAUAUAUAUAUAUAUAUAUAUAUAUAUAUAUAUACAUACAUACACACACACACACACACACACACACACACACAAAAAGAUUCCUUGCACUCACGCUUUAUAUUCUUGUUGUUGCCGGGUGCCAAAAUUAGCUGGCUGAAUUGUAUAAUUUGUCCAAUAGUGAUGACUACACUCCUCGGGUUUGUUUUAAAAUCAAAUGCUGCUUUAUUUAAAGAUACAUUAAAAAGAUCAAACGUUU
rnacentral:lncRNA from 1 species